AGCUGUUAUACAAUAUGAAGGCUGUGAAGAUUCAGUGCAUGUGAUCCAGUGUGCGCAAAGCUGAUCUCAGUCAAACAAUAAAACUUGAAAUUGAUACAAAGUGGUAUAAUUGGACAAGUAUAGAAUGUUUCCCAGUAUCCACAUCGAAAACAAAUCCAAAUGUACUUUCAAUUCAAAGCAAAGGUUUACUACGAAUCUGGAGCUAGCCUUAGCACGCAAUCAAGUCAAUGGAUUGCAGCAACCAAGAAGCCUUCCUGAAACAAAAGCCUGGUUAAAGCAACCUCCUGACUUUAGCUACAGGCUAUACAUAUCCCCAGGCCUUUCCACUAAGCUAUUGAAAAAGCCAAAGGUGGCGAAGAAGAUAAAGCCAUCAACAAGCACUUUUUAUGAGGAAUUGCACAAGAUAAAGUCCAGCUUGUCCAUCCCAUCCAUGGAACACCAGGAGCAACUUAAGAUCAUUACAAGGUUUCCUCGUGUGAGCUCUUACGAAGCCCAGUUACUGUUUGUAAAGUUGGGGAAGUUUAAGUGCAGCAAAUACGAAGAUCCAAAGCCACAUGAUUUUAGACAGUAUGAAUCAGAAAUACCGGAUUUUGUGACAAGCUAUACCAGGGAUCCUUUGAAUCUCAAGUUCAAAUCACAGUGUUUAAGCAAAAUCCAUGGACUUUAUCCUUUAAAGGAAGAAAAAAGGGGAUCUGGAUCAAAGGAAAGAUUUAUCACCUACAAGCCUAAAGAACUCAAGUGGGACUCAAAAUUACUUUUGCCAAAGGAACCUUGGCCUACAAAAUCUGGUUCCUUUACGAGGCACAGAAGCCAACGAGGUGCACACAGUGCCUUUAUAGAGCGAGUGGAAGAAACAUUAAGCAAGCUGUGGCUCAAAGAGGCACGUCAGAAGCAGGCACCAAGCCGAAAAAAAGCAGCACCUGGUACAAGAGGAAAAGUAUCCACUGCAACGGUUUCUUCUGAGAGUGACUCUGAUACUGAGCAGCAAGUUAGAAGGCAGCAAGAAACAAAUAAGCAAAAAGAGCAGCUCUCUCGCCCACAUCUACAGCAACAUACUGUUAAGGAAUGACGGAACAGAACCAGCCUCUCAGUGCAUAUAAAACCAGAAUCUUUGGGAAUCUUGUUGCCAGUUGCACAGCUCAGAGUGUUGGAGAGCUGAGUGCAAAUAAUGGAAAAUAAUGGAACAUGCUUGACAACUAUUGUUAUCAUUGCUUUUUUUGGCAUUCAUUCAAAACUAUUGUUAUCACUGUUCUUUUUUGGCAUUCAUUCAAUGCCAGCAUCACUACUGGAGGAUGAAUCUCUAUUCCAACUCAGUGAACAUUAAUAAUUGCAAAAAACAGAUUUAAACACAAGUAUAAUAAAGGAUUAUCCACUGGUAUCCA
rnacentral:lncRNA from 1 species